AUGAACGCUGGCGGCGUGCCUAAUACAUGCAAGUCGAGCGAACGGACGAGAAGCUUGCUUCUCUGAUGUUAGCGGCGGACGGGUGAGUAACACGUGGAUAACCUACCUAUAAGACUGGGAUAACUUCGGGAAACCGGAGCUAAUACCGGAUAAUAUUUUGAACCGCAUGGUUCAAAAGUGAAAGACGGUCUUGCUGUCACUUAUAUAUGGAUCCGCUCUGCAUUAGCUAGUUGGUAAGGUAACGGCUUACCAAGGCAACGAUGCAUAGCCGACCUGAGAGGGUGAUCGGCCACACUGGAACUGAGACACGGUCCAGACUCCUACGGGAGGCAGCAGUAGGGAAUCUUCCGCAAUGGGCGAAAGCCUGACGGAGCAACGCCGCGUGAGUGAUGAAGGUCUUCGGAUCGUAAAACUCUGUUAUUAGGGAAGAACAUAUGUGUAAGUAACUGUACACAUCUUGACGGUACCUAAUCAGAAAGCCACGGCUAACUACGUG
rnacentral:rRNA from 1 species